GACGAACGCUGGCGGCGUGCUUAACACAUGCAAGUCGAACGGUGAACCAGAGCUUGCUCUGGGGAUCAGUGGCGAACGGGUGAGUAACACGUGGGCAACCUGCCCCAGACUCUGGGAUAACCCCGGGAAACCGGAGCUAAUACCGGAUAUGACCACUUCGGACAUCCGAUGGUGGUGGAAAGUUUUUCGGUCUGGGAUGGGCCCGCGGCCUAUCAGCUAGUUGGUGGGGUAAUGGCCUACCAAGGCGACGACGGGUAGCCGGCCUGAGAGGGCGACCGGCCACACUGGAACUGAGACACGGUCCAGACUCCUACGGGAGGCAGCAGUGGGGAAUAUUGCACAAUGGGCGAAAGCCUGAUGCAGCGACGCCGCGUGAGGGACGACGGCCUUCGGUUGGUAACCUACUUUCAGCAGGGACGAAGCGAAAGUGACUGUACCUGCAAAGAAGCACCGGCUAACUACGUAGCCAGCAGCCGCGGUAA
rnacentral:rRNA from 1 species